rnacentral:rRNA from 1 species
GUAGAUAUUGGGAAGAACACCAGUGGCGAAGGCGCUCUACUGGGCCGUAACUGACGCUGAGGGACGAAAGCUAGGGGAGCGAAAGGGAUUAGAUACCCCUGUAGUCCUAGCUGUAAACGAUGGAUACUAGGUGUUGGACGUAUCGACCCGUUCAGUACCGCAGCCAACGCGAUAAGUAUCCCGCCUGGGGAGUACGCACGCAAGUGUGAAACUCAAAGGAAUUGACGGGGGCCCGCACAAGCGGUGGAGUAUGUGGUUUAAUUCGAUGCAACGCGAAGAACCUUACCAGGGCUUGACAUCCCCCGAAUCCUUGUGAAAGCGAGGAGUGCCUUCGGGAGCGGGGAGACAGGUGGUGCAUGGCUGUCGUCAGCUCGUGUCGUGAGAUGUUGGGUUAAGUCCCGCAACGAGCGCAACCCACGUCCUUAGUUGCCAUCAUUCAGUUGGGCACUCUGGGGAGACUGCCGGGGACAACUCGGAGGAAGGUGUGGAUGACGUCAAGUCAUCAUGCCCCUUACGUUCUGGGCUACACACGUACUACAAUGCUUCGGACAAAGGGCAGCCAACUAGCGAUAGUGAGCUAAUCCCAUAAACCGAGGCACAGUUCAGAUUGCAGGCUGCAACUCGCCUGCAUGAAGGAAGAAUCGCUAGUAAUCGCCGGUCAGCAUACGGCGGUGAAUACGUUCCCGGGCCUUGCACACACCGCCCGUC